AGGGAGAGGGAGAAACAGGGGGGUAGGGCCUCUUGUUGGUUUCGUCAGUCCUCAUAAAAUAUAAUGGUGCUGCCUUGUAAUUAAGAGAAAGAGCUUGUGAAAAUAAUUUUCUAGACUCAGGGUCAGAUGAAACCUCUUUGGAGUUGGAAAUGAAGACUGUGUCCCUUGGAUCACUGUGGUUGUGGAAAUGUGCCAUUGGACUGUGCCAGUUUUGUGCCACAAGAAGUGGGUCUCAUCUUAAUGUCUUCCAUGCACUGUGAGCCUUAACAGUGACUAUGAUGGGGGGAUGGGCACAGUGCCAGGCAUUAAAUAUCCAAGAAAGGAAAGGGUGGGGGGCCCUGGUACAGAAAUAUUGCCCUAGGGUCCUUUGCCUUUCCAUUUCCUGGAGAUCAUCAAAAACCCUGUCAGCUUUUCCUUUGGUGGCUGGGACACUUCUUGAGGCCUGUUGUUGAGCUCUACCCCUUUCAGAGAAAAGUGGAGGGGACUGCAGAGCUCUGAUCAAAGGUAAAUAGAGGACAAAUUUGUACAAAGGACAUACUGUACGGGAGGCUGGAUAAAUAGCUUGUGAAACACAUUCUCAAUAAGAUUCUAUCCCUGCUUCGUCAAUAAGGAACUUUGUAAGAAGGGCAGAGUUCCAUUGGAGAAAUGGAAGAUCACUGUUCAGCU